rnacentral:tRNA from 1 species
GGUAGGGUGGCCGAGAGUAGGUGGCAGGUUGUAGCCCUGUUUAGGCGGGUUUAAAUCCUGCCCCUAUCAA